GAUGAACGCUGGCGGCGUGCCUAAUACAUGCAAGUCGAGCGAACGGACGAGAAGCUUGCUUCUCUGAUGUUAGCGGCGGACGGGUGAGUAACACGUGGAUAACCUACCUAUAAGACUGGGAUAACUUCGGGAAACCGUAGCUAAUACCGGAUAAUAUUUUGAACCGCAUGGUUCAAAAGUGAAAGACGGUCUUGCUGUCACUUAUAGAUGGAUCCGCGCUGCAUUAGCUAGUUGGUAAGGUAACGGCUUACCAAGGCAACGAUGCAUAGCCGACCUGAGAGGUCGAUCGGCCACACUGGAACUGAGACACGGUCCAGACUCCUACGGGAGGCAGCAGUAGGGAAUCUUCCGCAAUGGGCGAAAGCCUGACGGAGCAACGCCGCGUGAGUGAUGAAGGUCUUCGGAUCGUAAAACUCUGUUAUUAGGGAAGAACAUAUGUGUAAGUAACUGUGCACAUCUUGACGGUACCUAAUCAGAAAGCCACGGCUAACUACGUG
rnacentral:rRNA from 1 species